CCCUUAGAUGUUCUGGGCCGCACGCGUGCUACACUGAGUAAAUCAAUGGGUAAGGGAACACGAAAGUGCAACCUAAUCUUCAAAUUUGCUCGUGAUGGGGAUCGACGGUUGCAAUUUUCCGUCGUGAACGAGGAAUACCUUGUAGGCGCGUGUCAUCAUCACGCGCCGAAUACGUCCCUGCCCUUUGUACACACCGCCCGUCGCUCCUACCGAUUGAGUGAUCCGGUGAGGCUCUGGGACCUGGACGGAAAGAGCGUUUCGCUUGUUCUGUUUGGGAAACUUGGUCGAACCUUAUCAUUUAGAGGAAGGAGAAGUCGUAACA
rnacentral:rRNA from 1 species